ACCACUGUCUUCCUGCCCAGGCUUCCUCUGCCCUUCAAUAUCUGUGGCUUUCCUUUUCCCUUUCAGAGGGACUCUGGAAGGCAGACUCCCUUAGGCAGGGGCCAGAGAUGCUGCCACUGCUGCUGCUGCCCCUGCUGUGGGGAGGAUCCCUUACUCGGAGUUGGAAAAUCGAGCUGGAACUGCAGGAAUCUGUGACAGUGCAGGAGGGCCUGUGUGUCCUUGUGCCCUGUAAAUUUUCCUACCUUAGUUAUUCCUAUGGAUACCACCACAUGUUUUGGUUCCAGGAAGGAAAGAGUAAAAACCAAGGUCUUCUAGUGGCCACAAACAAACAAGGACAGAAGGUGCAGGAAAGGACCAAGGGCCGAUUCUUCCUUCUUGGGGAUCCCUGGGUCAACAACUGCUCCCUGAGCAUCAGAGAUGUCAAAAUGGAGGACAGUGGGACAUACUCCUUCCGAACUGAUAAUCAUUUUCACGGAUACGCAUAUGGAGAUAAGAUGUUCUCUCUGAAGGUGACAGCCCUGACUCAAUCACCCAACAUCCAGAUCCCAGGAAUCCUGGAGUCUGGCCACCCCAGGAAUCUGACUUGCACUGUGCCCUGGGCCUGUGAGCAGGGGACGCCCCCCAUCUUCUCCUGGAACUCAGCAGCCCUCACCUCCUUGGGCCCCCGGACCCACCUCUCCUCAGUGCUCACCCUUUCCCCAAGACCCCAGGAUCAUGGCACCAGCCUCACAUGUCAGGUGACCUUCCCUGCAGUUGGAGUGACUGUAAAGAGGACCAUCCAGCUCAAUAUUUCCUGGAAAGGCCCAAUGACCACUCAUUUCUCACCAUGGAUGAUGAGGUUGCCACAUCUUCUGUCCCAGAUGCUCCACAGAACAUGGUCCUCACAGUCUCCCAAGGAAACAGCACAGGGCCAGCCCCUGCAUCUGGUCUGUGUUGCUGAUAGCAAUCCCCCUGCAGAGCUGAGCUGGUUCUGGGAGUCCUCAAGCCUGAAUGCUUCUGUCGUCUCUAACACUGGAUACAUGGAGCUGCCUCAAGCAGGGACUGGAGAAGGAGUGUUCACCUGCCGAGCUCAAAACCACCUGGGCUCCCAGCAUGUUUUUCUGAAUGUCUCUGUUCACUGUGAGUUUGGAGGCACCUGGAGAAGGACUCCAUGGGAAACCAGAACCCAGGUCAGGUUCAGAAGUCCUUGGAGUUGCUGGAGGAGCUGGUGGCAUGGCCCUGAUUUGUCUCUGUCUUUUCCUCAUCUUCAGAUUGAAGACUCAGAAGAAGAAAGCAGCUAAGACAGUGGAAGACAUGAAUGAUGUGAACCCGGUCUUGGGUUCAGGAUCAUGGAUAGAAGUCAGACUGGUCUCCUUCACCUUUUACUCCUAUGCUCACUGAGGUUUCAUCAUCUCCCUCCUGGAUCCCGGAGCCCACUGAAUGUUCUUGCCCCCAUCUGUUCUCAAUACAGGCCACUGGGAAAAUCUUUCAGAAAUAAUUAUUGUCUAGUCCCUCCAUAGUUUCUAUGGUUUAGAUGUCUCUGUCAGCUCCCUAUAGCUUGGAGAAGACGCCAAAUUCUUUGGCAUAGUAUCAUGCCCUCUUCAAUCCGUUUCCUCCCCUCCAUGCCUUUGCAUUGUGCUCCACCUCACUGUUCUCAAUUUUCCUGAUCAGACCUGGCUCUGCAGUAACAAUGUCCCCUCCUCUAGACUUGCCACUAACUAGGUCACUAGUUCUACUGGCAAAAUCAUGUGUAUUAUUCAAAAUGCAAAUGAAAUAUUAUCCUUUCCCUGUGGAAACUGCGGCCAACCCCUUCUGAGCAAGAGGCCAAUACCCUCUCCUCUGUGUACCAGCAUCCCAGAGUACAUCCCUGUUUUGUGAGGCUCACUGUGUCAUAAUUGCAAACACAGGCCUGUCCCCUUCCAUGCUAGGGCCUCCCCAAGAAAAAGGGAUGGGUCCAUUACAGGGUCCUGUUGGCCAACUCUACGCACCCUGUUCCCAACACCUCUCACAUGUGUUGUUGUUGUAGGACACCAUCGAGUAGAUUUCAACCCAUCUCAACCCAAUGUGACAGAGUAGAUCUUCCCCAUAGGGUUUUCUAGGUUGUAAUCUUCAUGUGAGCAGACUGCAGGUCUUUCUCCUGCAGAGCCACUGGGGGGUUUCCACCUCCAGCUUUUUGGUUAGCAGCUGAGUACUUAACCAUUUCGCCACCAGGGCUCCUCCUCAUAGGUGAAAAAACAUUCGUUGCCUUUGAGUUGAUUCUGAGUCAUAGGAACCAUAUACUACAAAGUAGAACGGUCCUUUAAUGUUUCCAAGGAGUGGCUGGUGAAAUUGAAGUGCAGCCUUUUGGCUAGCAGCCAAACUCUUAACCACUGCAGCACUAGAGCCCCUUCUCACAUGUACAUGUGUAUAUUUAAUUCAUAGCAGGUCAAUUACAUCAGUCAUUAAAUCAGCAGCAAUGCUUGGUUCAUGAUAUUCUGUUAUGAUUCAUCUACUCAUGGACCUCUCCUAUCUUUUUUUUCCUUUAUAAUAUAAACCAUUAACCCCUUACUCAAUCCAAGAAUGAGACUGCUGAUAAUAGGUUGCAUCUACCUGUGUGUUUCUUCUCUUCCCAACCCUCUAGCUACCUCCUUCUUGAGUAGCCUCUAUCCUGAAUUCUGUUUAUUAUUCCAUAGCUGUUACCUCUCCCGCCUCUCCCGCUCAUGGAAUUACACAAUAGCAAUAUAUUGAUUGGAAACACUGGUGACGUAGUGGUUAAGAGCUGCAGCUGCUAACCAAAAGAUCAGCAGUUUGAGUCCACGAAUGUUCCUUAGAAACCAUGUGGGGCAGGUCUACUCUGUCCUAGAGGGUUGCUAUGAGUUGGAAUUGAGUCAAUGGCAAUGCAUAAUAUAUUGAUUAUAUUUGUUUAUUUCAGACUUUGUAAAAAGUGCAUUAUGCUCAAUGUAGUCUUUUGGCACCAGUUAACAUUAUUAAGAUCCAUCCACAUUGUUAUAUGUAGAUGUAGUUCAUUAGUUUUUAUUGCCAUAUAAUAAAUAUAUCGUGCUAUUACAACACAAUUUAUUUAUCUGGUCUCGUGUUGAUGAUUAUUUAGACUAUUUCCAGGUGUGGCUGUUACAAACAUUAUUAUUUCACGUCUCGGUGUGUUCAUGCGCAGUUUCUUGGUCACGUAUCUAAGAACUAAAUUGCUAGAUCACGGUAAAAAAAUGUCCAUCUUAACAAGGUAAUGCCAAUGGUUUUUCAACAUGGUGGACCAAUAUACAUUCCCACCAACUACAUCUAAGGUGGUUUAUUCAUUCACAUUCUUUCCAACACUUGAUUUCUCAGACUUCUCAUUUUUGCUAAUAAAACUGGCAUAGCACAUUGAGCUCUUCAUUUACACUUUCCUGAUUACUAAAUAUUUUGCGUUUAUUUAUGUGUUUUUAUGGUGUCAAGAACACAUAAAUGUCUACCUCUCCCCUGCUCAUGGCUAUUGCCCAUUUUUAGUGUUGGUAGUUUGUCCUUUCCUUACUAAUCUGUAGGAAGUCAUUACAUAGUUUUAAUACCAGCUUAUGUAAUUUACGUGUAUUACAAAUAACUUUUUCCAGUGUGUAGCUUGUCAUUUUGCUUUUCUUAAGGUGACUUGCUGAACCUAAGCCUUUAUUUUUGAUACGGUCGUAUUAAUUAAACCUUAUAUGUUGAGUGAUUUGGUGUCUUUUUAAAGAAAAUAUUUCCUGCCCUAAGAUCAGAAACAUAUUCACCUAUAUUUUACACAAAAAUUUAAAGUUUUUUUGCUUUUGGCAUUUAGAUAAUUUAGGUCUUAAUUAUUCCAGAGUUGAGUUGUCUGUAUUGUAUGAAGUGGAUGUCUGAUUUCAUGAUUUCUGCAUGGAGCUUCUGCUUCUGUUUAUUCCUUGAACAUAUUUAUUAAUACCUGUCUUAAAAUUUCUUCAUUUCUGAAAUGUUGGAAACUGUUUCUAGUGACUGCUUCUAUACUUGUCAUAGCUCAUAUUUUGUAGCUUCUUUGAAUAUUCAGUAAUUUGGGGAAGGAUGCUGGAUGUUAUGUUAUAUAGUUGAUUAUCUGGAUAUUCUAGGAUUCCUUUAAAGAUUGUUAAGCUUUCCACUGGCAGUCAGUUAAUUUACUUCUGGAUCAUCUUGACCCAUUCAAAGCUUUUAAUACAAGCUUUGUUAGGGUGAGUUUAGAUUAAUCUUUACUCUAUUUUCCCCAUAAUUGUUCUUUCUCAAAUAGCAUGUUUUUUAAAUCAGAUUUAUGGCAUCUCAUAGUAUGCAUGUGCAGCUGAAUAUUCAGCCAAAGACUCAAGGAAAUCACUAUACAGAUUUUCUGAAGCUCUUUCUCCAGAGCUUCUAUCCAUUCUUCUAGAAGGUAUCAAGGGAUGGGCAAAUAUAGGAGAGGGUCUCUGGUUAUCACCUUUACUUCAGGGCUUGGUCUCUGUCUGUCUUCUAGUACCUGUCCAGGAAUGAGUUAUGCCACCCCUACCCCUGAUUUAUGUUUCAAAAUAUCUACCAUCUCAAACUUAUGACUUGAAAUGCAUUAGUUUUCUAUUUAUUUAAUAAGAGCCUCUGCUAGAAAGCCAUCCGCUGCACAAUAUCAGGAACUGUGUCUACAUUCAUCAUCACUCUACGUCGAGCACUGAGCACACUACCAGGCAAUUAAUAAGAUGGCAGGCUCUGUAGUUGGAAAGUACUGGUUUUGACUCUUGACUCAAUGGUGCAUUUAUAUAUGAAUGUGUCUUCAAGCAAUGUAUAUAAACUCUCCUAGCUUCGGUUUUUUGUUUUUUAAAUUUUAAGAUGACAAUGAUAAGACUAUCCUCUCCACAGCAUUUUUCUGAGAACAUAAUGUGAUUAGUAUAAGCACUCAGUAAGGGCUGGCCAAUCUGAAUUAUUAGGUAUUUUUGAAUAAAUGAAUGGAUAAAUGACAAAGCGUUCAUCACUCCCAGUUUCUUUCUGGUCCUUCGCUGCUUUAUCCUAAACCCCACUGCCUUGAUCUCAAU